rnacentral:lncRNA from 14 species
GGAGAAAUCUCUGUAUUCCUGUCGAACAUUUUAAUAUAAUGGAAAAAUUGCCAUCUAAUUUCUACAUAAUUAUUCUCCAGCAUUCAGAAGACAGAUCACAUUUGUACAGCUCAUUGAUUGAAGUGGCAAAAGUAAGUACUGCACAGCAAAGAGGAAAACCCACUCAGCCAAUGAUGCAAGCUAAAGUUUAUCGAUUUCCUGUGAAUCCUGAUGCAUUUUGCAUUUUGUUGGAGAAAGUGCGUCUUUACAAGCAGCGAAGGGAG